rnacentral:rRNA from 1 species
CAUGCAAGUCGAACGGGAAUAUUUCAUUGAGACUUCGGUGGAUUUGAUCUAUUUCUAGUGGCGGACGGGUGAGUAACGCGUGGGUAACCUGCCUUAUACAGGGGGAUAACAGUCAGAAAUGGCUGCUAAUACCGCAUAAGCGCACAGAGCUGCAUGGCUCAGUGUGAAAAACUCCGGUGGUAUAAGAUGGACCCGCGUUGGAUUAGCUUGUUGGUGGGGUAACGGCCCACCAAGGCGACGAUCCAUAGCCGGCCUGAGAGGGUGAACGGCCACAUUGGGACUGAGACACGGCCCAGACUCCUACGGGAGGCAGCAGUGGGGAAUAUUGCACAAUGGGGGAAACCCUGAUGCAGCGACGCCGCGUGAAGGAAGAAGUAUCUCGGUAUGUAAACUUCUAUCAGCAGGGAAGAUAGUGACGGUACCUGACUAAGAAGCCCCGGCUAACUACGUGCCAGCAGCCGCGGUAAUACGUAGGGGGCAAGCGUUAUCCGGAUUUACUGGGUGUAAAGGGAGCGUAGACGGUGUGGCAAGUCUGAUGUGAAAGGCAUGGGCUCAACCUGUGGACUGCAUUGGAAACUGUCAUACUUGAGUGCCGGAGGGGUAAGCGGAAUUCCUAGUGUAGCGGUGAAAUGCGUAGAUAUUAGGAGGAACACCAGUGGCGAAGGCGGCU